rnacentral:rRNA from 1 species
GGAUUGACGUGACGGUCGUGCCUUAAGGGGCGUGAACUGUCGCCGUUGAUUUCUCACCUUCUGGAGAAGCUCGAUGUCCUUAAUUGGAUGUCUUGUGGAACCAGGACCUUUACCUUGAAAAAAUUAGAGUGUUUAAAGCAGGCAUUUUGCUCGAAUACAUUAGCAUGGAAUAAUAGAAUAGGACGGCAUGGUUCUAUUUUGUUGGUUUCUAGGAUCACCGUA